GGGUUUCCUGACCAGGUGGGCGUUCUUCUUUUCAUCAAUGAAUCGCCAUGGAUACCCUCCCACAUGCCGAGGACAAUUAAGCCCAAAUCAGUUACACCUGUGCAGUGCAGAGGUUUUAUAUGCUCUACCCCAGAGUUUGAUAACACAAGGCUGUUGCUGCUGUGUGUUGCAUUCUGCACGUUCACAGCUAACACAUUUAUGAGUUCUGUUUGAACCAUGAUCCAUUAAUGUUAAUCUAAAACAAUAUAAUUGAAUUGGUUGUAGAGGAAACCAUAGGCGUACGUGAUUACCAGGAUCUUCAUCCGUUUGUGUUGCUGGUGGAAAACACUAUCACUUGAAUGCACCCUGCAGCGGUGGUGAUGGACGGCAGAGAGCCUCACAAUACCUACACAUCACUUGACACUAGAGGCCAGGUUGGUCCCAUAUUGUUGGUGACCUGGACGGUGAGCAAAGACCACAAGAACAGGAGGAAUCCCGCACCAGGGAGAGCAACGAUAGAACCUAGCAGCUGCUCACCAAGCGGUGUCAGGGGACACCUGCCGGUCAUGAGCCAACAAACUCGGCUGGGACUGUGAGGAGAUGGUCAACCGCUACGGUGUUGUGUUGGUGAAAUUGACGUUGAGGAACGACCACAAGAGCAGUAGGAAUCCAGCACCACGGAGAGCAGCCAUGGAAACUAUAGGAACAACCAUGGAAGCACUGUUGAGAAAACUAUUGGAGGCGAACAGGGCACAGCUAUAGCCAGUAGCCGGGAGCUGCUGGGAGUGCUGACAGCCGGUCAUGUCGGCAGGGCUGCAGGUGCGGCAGUGCCCUGCCCUGGGCCCCAGCAGGUUUGUCUCGCCAUGGCAAGAGACGCAGCCGCCGCCGCCGCAAGAGACGCCGCCGCCGCCGCCGCAAGAGACGCCUUGAUCACCUAGAAGCACGGAUUGGGCUGAGGGAAAGAGAUGGGUGGAAAUAAUUGUACUGUUUCAUAUAAGAGGUGGAUGACCCUUUUCCCACCCUGGUUGGAUUUUGGAGGUGAAUAAACCAUUCGGCUUUGGACCUGCUCUCGUGUCAUAAUAUCUGUUCAACUUGGUAGCAUGGAAACCCCACACCCACUGGCCCGCUACACUAUAUUAAGUUAAUCUUUAGUGUGUCUAUUUUGUGUCUGUUUAUCUUUAUGGUGUGUGUGUCUGUAUAUAUGUAUAUAUGUGUAUAUAUAUGUAUAUAUAUAUGUGUGUGUGUAUGUAUGUGUGUGUG
ensembl:lncRNA